AGAGUUUGAUCCUGGCUCAGAUUGAACGCUGGCGGCAUGCCUUACACAUGCAAGUCGAACGGCAGCACGGGAGCAAUCCUGGUGGCGAGUGGCGAACGGGUGAGUAAUAUAUCGGAACGUGCCCAGUCGUGGGGGAUAACGUAGCGAAAGCUACGCUAAUACCGCAUACGAUCUACGGAUGAAAGCGGGGGACUCGUAAGGGCCUCGCGCGAUUGGAGCGGCCGAUAUCAGAUUAGGUUGUUGGUGAGGUAAAAGCUCACCAAGCCUGCGAUCUGUAGCUGGUCUGAGAGGACGACCAGCCACACUGGAACUGAGACACGGUCCAGACUCCUACGGGAGGCAGCAGUGGGGAAUUUUGGACAAUGGACGCAAGUCUGAUCCAGCAAUGCCGCGUGCAGGACGAAGGCCUUCGGGUUGUAAACUGCUUUUGUACGGAACGAAACGGUCUGCUUUAAUACAGCGGGCUAAUGACGGUACCGUAAGAAUAGCCCCCCGAAUAUGGC
rnacentral:rRNA from 1 species